rnacentral:rRNA from 1 species
AGGCAGCAGUGGGGAAUAUUGCGCAAUGGGCGAAAGCCUGACGCAGCGACGCCGCGUGAGGGAUGAAGGUCUUCGGAUCGUAAACCUCUGUCAGCAGGAAGAACGGUCACUGUGCUAAUCAGCAGUGAAUUGACGGUACCUGCAAAGGAAGCACCGGCUAACUCCGUGCC